AGUGAACGCUGGCAGUAGGCCUAACACAUGCCAGUCGAACGGCAGCACAGUAAGAGCUUGCUCUUACGGGUGGCGAGUGGCGGACGGGUGAGGAAUACAUCGGAAUCUACUUUUUCGUGGGGGAUAACGUAGGGAAACUUACGCUAAUACCGCAUACGACCUACGGGUGAAAGCAGGGGAUCUUCGGACCUUGCGCGAUUGAAUGAGCCGAUGUCGGAUUAGCUAGUUGGCGGGGUAAAGGCCCACCAAGGCGACGAUCCGUAGCUGGUCUGAGAGGAUGAUCAGCCACACUGGAACUGAGACACGGUCCAGACUCCUACGGGAGGCAGCAGUGGGGAAUAUUGGACAAUGGGCGCAAGCCUGAUCCAGCCAUACCGCGUGGGUGAAGAAGGCCUUCGGGUUGUAAAGCCCUUUUGUUGGGAAAGAAAAGCAGCAGGUUAAUACCCCGCUGUUCUGACGGUACCCAAAGAAUAAGCACCGGCUAACUUCGUG
rnacentral:rRNA from 1 species